rnacentral:rRNA from 1 species
UACGGAGGGUGCAAGCGUUAAUCGGAAUUACUGGGCGUAAAGCGCACGCAGGUGGCUGAGUCAGUCGAUUGUGAAAGCCCUGGGCUUAACCUGGGAAUUGCAGUCGAUACUACUCGGCUAGAGUAUGGGAGAGGGCAGUGGAAUUCCCGGUGUAGCGGUGAAAUGCGUAGAUAUCGGGAGGAACAUCAGUGGCGAAGGCGGCUCACUGGCCCGGUACUGACGCUGAGGUGCUAAAGCGUGGGGAGCAAACAGG